GACCACUGAAGACGUUCUUUGCUCGAGACGGAUUGGCGGCAGCGAGAAGGCAGUGCAGGUGUGCGAGUUACUUUCAGGCUUUGAAAAACCUGGCAAUGAAUUAUUCUGGCUGAGUUCUGUCGCUUAUCAAGCAAAAAUCUGAGUUGCAAUCAGAGUUCUUCAAAGAUCUCGACAAAUAUACUCCUCGCUUCCUGGAGAAGUUCAAAACCCAGAGGGGGAAAGUGUCGGACAGAAACUUGAAUAUCUGCAACAAGUCACACCUGGGAGUACAGAUGUGACUGGGAGGUGAACAGCAGUCCUCCGUAGCUCUCCCUUCAUCCUUGGAGAUGACAACGCAGACUUCUUCAAGAAUUUGACUCUGAUGACCUUCUGGACGUGUCCCACGCCUCCAUUGGGACCCUGACAGUGCUGAAGACAUCGUGGCCUCCUCACUCGCUGAACCUGGAGUCUACAGCUACUGCCAUCGUUUUGGGAUCAACAGUCGUGAUGGGUGACCGUGAUAAUCUUCCCCGUGCCGUGUGGCUACUCUUCGGACUUAUUUACCCCUGAAUUCGGAGUAUCCUCAACGAGUGAGGAACACCUUCUGAAUUUAUUCAUAGAGUGCUUCUCACUUGGACCAAAAACCCGAAAAUACAAUCACUCAAAAAUCUACUGAUGCCAUAAGGGACUGUGUUCAUGAUGUGCAGUCAGGCCCGAGAACUUCACCCUUCUAUCUCCAAUUGAACUCUUUUCUAGAAAAUGUCUGUUUUUGUUGUUUUUCUGUCGUGAAAUUUAGCAAAUGCCGAAAACGCUGUGUUCAUCAUAUUUCUGCGUUACAAAACCUAAUCUGGCAACAUGUUCAGCGUUUUAAGCACGUUGUUUGAGUUUUAAAACAUGUGUUUUUCUUCUAAAUAAACGUUGUCUUCCAUUGUAA